rnacentral:rRNA from 1 species
UACGGAGGGAGCUAGCGUUGUUCGGAAUUACUGGGCGUAAAGAGUACGUAGGCGGUGAUUCAAGUCAGAGGUGAAAGCCUGGAGCUCAACUCCAGAACUGCCUUUGAAACUAGAUCGCUAGAAUUAUGGAGAGGUUAGUGGAAUUCCGAGUGUAGAGGUGAAAUUCGUAGAUAUUCGGAAGAACACCAGUGGCGAAGGCGACUAACUGGACAUAUAUUGACGCUGAGGUACGAAAGCGUGGGGAGCAAACAGGAUUAGAUACCCUGGUAGUCCACGCCGUAAACGAUGAUAACUAGCUGUUCGGGGUCUACGAUCCUGAGUGGCGCAGCUAACGCAUUAAGUUAUCCGCCUGGGGAGUACGGUCGCAAGAUUAAA